GGCAGCCCGAAGUGGUGAUCACUAUUAUUGGGUCUAAAGGGUCCGUAGCCGGUUUAAUCAGUCUUCUGGGAAAUCUAAUCGCUUAACUAUUAGGCUUCCAGGGGAUACUGUUAGACUUGGGACCGGGAGAGGUAAGAGGUACUGCAGGGGUAGGAGUGAAAUCUUGUAAUCCCUGUGAGACCACCAGUGGCGAAGGCGUCUUACCAGAACGGGUCCGACGGUGAGGGACGAAAGCUGGGGGCACGAACCGGAUUAGAUACCCGGGUAGUCCCAGCUGUAAACGAUGCUCGUUAGGUGUCAGGAACGGUGCGACUGUUUCUGGUGCCGAAGGGAAGCCGUGAAACGAGCCACCUGGGAAGUACGGCCGCAAGGCUGAAACUUAAAGGAAUUGGCGGGGGAGCACUACAACGGGUGGAGCCUGCGGUUUAAUUGGACUCAACGCCGGAAAACUCACCGGGGGCGACAGCAAUAUGUAGGUCAGGUUAAAGGUCUUACCUGAAUCGCUGAGAGGAGGUGCAUGGCCGUCGUCAGUUCGUACUGUGAAGCAUCCUGUUAAGUCAGGCAACGAGCAAGACCCGUGCCCACUGUUACCAGCAUAUCCUUUAUGGAUGAUGGGGACUCUGUGGGGACCGCUGCUGCUAAAGCAGAGGAAGGUGCGGGCUACGGUAGGUCAGUAUGCCCCGAAUCUCCCGGGCUACACGCGGGCUACAAUGGUUGGGACAAUGGGUAUCUACUCCGAAAGGAGUUGGCAAUCUCUUAAACCCAAUCGUAGUUCGAAUUGAGGGCUGUAACUCGCCCUCAUGAAGCUGGAAUCCGUAGUAAUCGCGUUUCAACAUAGCGCGGU
rnacentral:rRNA from 1 species